GCCCGCCUAGCUCAAUCGGAUAGAGCGUCAGACUCUUAGGGCGGAGGUUUCGGCCACCCGAAGUGUCAUCUGAAGGCUGCGAGUUCGACCCUCGCGGUGGGCU